GCCCCUGUAGCUCAACGGAUAGAGCACAUCCCUUCUAAGGAUGUGAUGGAGGUUCGAUUCCCCCCAGGGGUA
rnacentral:tRNA from 2 species